AGGAGCUCCAAAUACAUUGUGAUCAGGUGUGUAACACAGGGAAGCUUCUGACCAGCUAUUUCUGAUCUGACCAGCACCGGUACCCACAGAAGUAAAGAUAGGGCAGCGCAGAUCUCCUCGAGGGGAGCCCAGAGCCCCAGAAAGUGCACACCACUACAGCUGCCAAGGACUCGGCUUCCAGGGCUACCCGAACUUGUUACGUCAAAGCUGUCGCUGAUGGAUCCCUACAGUCACUGCGAGUCUCUAAAAUCAUGCUUCUUAUGUCCACGACAUCCAACCCCUUCAAAAUGGUUAAGGAGCAGGAGAGGACCAUGAAUUUAACUUUUAGGGGAAAAUGGUGGCUGUACAGUUUUGGUGAAUGAAGUCUUUCAACCUGAGACAAAUAAAUCAUCUAAGAAUUGCUCUGUCCUUUUGAUGUGCCUCAAGCAGCUACAACCCAGACUCUCCCUGGAAUACCAGAACAAGUCAUGCAUCCUCCAUUAUAUAACGUGUUGAAUCCUGUAUCAUGGAAAAUCCUUCAUUCACCUAACCAACUCUUGGACCACAGCUGGACUGGAAGUGAAGUUCUGGACUACCUUGCUUGCUUGGUCAUGCACUUCAGCUCUUCCCUAAAGAAAUGGCAUUUUAACAUAGGUCUGAUAUCAGUUUUGUAAACUGCAGCCAAGUCCAGUUGCCAUUAAACACAUCAGUGUUCCUCUUUAACAAUAUUCUUUGAAAAUAUCUUAUGCCAGUUGUGUUUUUCAAUUGGUUACACUUUAAAUUUUUAAUGGAGAUUGUUUCCAUCUGCAGCAAUAUAUAUCAUAGUAACAUAAACAGGUUUUCCAAAGACUUUUUUUUGGAAAAUGCACCGUGUUGCCUAAAACACUGUUUAUUGCUCGAUAGAUUUCCUGUGGAUUUUUGAUUUCUAUGGCACAUCUAUGAAUUCUGUACAAAGAAUACAAAGACUGAAAUUUUGGGGAAAAAAAAGAGAAAAGACAAGGAAUCGCUACACAUCAUUCGUCUGCUAGGGUUAAUUUUGCACUAACUGGUGACAGGGUGUAUUGAAUAAGUGAUAUAAAUUUAAGGCCAAAUUCACUGCUCAGUUAAAUGGAUGAAACUUCACUGAUACUACUAGAGCUUUAAUGACUUAAAUCAACAGAGAGAAUAGGCCUUUGUUCUAUGAGGUUCUUCUAACAAUUCACACGUGACAUGUGAAUUGUUAAAGUGAAUUAAAAUCCUUAAAGACAGCAACCAUUUUAAUUUAGUUCCUCCUAGCAUUUAAGAACCCAUAAAAGUUGUCCCAUGGAGAAAAAGGAGAAACUAUUGCUAUGUCUGUAUUUAAUGUUGUGUGCUAAGAGGUUUUCAAGAGAGGGUCUGAGCAUUCAAUCCUGAUUUAUUUACUAGAAGUCAAAUAUUUCUAAUAUGACUUUUGCAAAGACACUUCUGCCAGCUGGUCUGUACGCUGUUCAGAGGUUGGUAGUGUGCUGUGUUGUAUUCCAGAAGCAUCUCAUAUCCUCUCCUCUUUCCUCCCUUUAGGCCACCAAAUCUCAGCUAGUGAGGUGUGUUUUACUGGAGAAGCAUGAUAAUGUUAAAGAUGAGGCAUGACACGGAGCCCAAGCUAAUACACUUUGCUGUGUUUAUUAGUAUGGUCUCCGCUCCAGCGCUGUUAGGGUGGUGGGAGUGGGAGGGGUUGGGAAGAGGAGAAUGGAAAAAAAUUGACCUUGGCUGUAGUGUGGGAACUGGGCAAGACAAGAGGAGUGUGCUGCUGGGUGGAGGGGAGAGGAGUCCAAACAGAUGAGAGAAAUCCUGCUGCAAUGACACAGCUGGGUCAACAUAACUGCCCUGAAUGACGGGCUGGAGAAGGGUGGAGUAUUACUCUGCAGAAUAGAGGAUACCAUUCCUAUAUGAACGACUGUGAAGCACCUCUAAAAGGAAAGAAGCUCUUUGCCUUACAGAGUGACCAGAUAUCUGUAAUCAUUUCAGCAUCUAAAUUAGAGAGGCAAGAAAAUGAAGCAAUGCAGUGUCAUUCUGAACUUCCUUACGAUAUGUAAAUUAAUCUGCAUUUUUAAAUUAGAACACAUUACUCUUCUUUGGCAAAAGCCUGUAUCAUAACCCGUGAUAAUUAUGACAGGCCUGAAUCUCUCUUCUGCCCAUGAAGUCGGGGCAGAUAAAAAAUAUAUUGGAGUACCUAACAUAUCUGUUAGAAGAGUACAACAUGCCUAGAUAUGACAUGAAGAAUCAUAAGAAACAUAGAAAGCUAAUUAAUAAAUGCUGAAUGAAUAUAUCUGAAAGGGAGAGGGGAAGCAAUGAAAGCCGAAGUGGAAGGCUGGCUUGUGACACUAGAAGCAGCAAAGAAUUAGUAGUGGUUGUGGAAGUGCUAUGGAUCCUACUUGCAGUGGCCUCUAAUGCCAGUGAAAGUGUCUUGCUCCUAGGAGUUGGCUGUCGUUGGCCCACAGUAAGCUAUUACACUUCUGGCCUGGCAUAGGACCCAUCUGCCCCACCACAGCAAAUCAUCUAGCAGGCCAGAGCCAGCAGAAUAGAUAUCUAGGAGUUGUACAGAGCUUUUUCCACAGUGGUAAUUCCCUUCGUGCUGUCAGUAUGUAUUGGAAAUUGCAGCAGAUUAUAGUCCCUGCUGAGAAAAAAAGGUUGGCUCUCAACAAUCCUGAAAAAAGAGAAAGCAAUAGGUAUAACUGAAACCUCUUUGAAGUCCUUUUAAUGUGAAAUCUUCAUCUGCAGCUGCUGACUCAGGCCUUGACUUUUAUUGUUGCCUAUUCUGCAGUUAUUCUUGCAUCCAAUAGCUGGAGCAACCCUAAGCAAACACACAGCACGGGGUCAGAACUAAUGUCAGCUGAGGAAAACCAUUGCUGAGAAUCAGUUCAACAACAUCAGCCCUGGUCUUCUCAGCAGUUGCUUCCUCACCACUUGCAGGAGCAAGUCUGCCGUAUUCUCAAAGACCCAGCUGGACAUUGGUUCCUUUACUCUCCACUGCAAUGUGCAGGAACUCCUAUAUCCUUGCCAUCUCAGUAUAGAUCACCUUAUUUUACUUGCUUGCUUAGCAGUAGAAGAGGAAAGAAAAAUUCACAUUUCCUUUUCCUUGUGCUGUCCAAUAGAAUCAUUAAAAAGUCAUCGUGUGUAAUAACAUAAAGAAGUUGUGACAUUCAUCUGUCAUCACAGUAUCAAAUUUUAUCUUUGUAUUUGCACAAGUAUGAUUUAUUGUUUGCCAUAUCCUUCAAACAUGUCUCAUUAGGAUCACGUAGACUACAUUGCUCCUGUAGUAUGUGGUACAUGUCAUCUUCCUCCUUUGCUUCCUACCUAUUUUGAAAAAUCUUGGGCAGGCUUCUCUCAGCACUGGUAAUAUGUUAACAACACAGAAACGUUGUUUGAAGACAGAGCUCCCCUCAAGCUAUAGAUCUGUUAUGCUGAGUCCAGAAAACUGCAUCUAAUUAGCAUCCUUCCUGAUCUCUCUAAUCUUCCUGGCUUGAUUCUCCCAUACAUUAUACUUAGACCAAAAGCCAUCCCCUGUUUCACUCUGAAUAUGGCCAGCUUUAAAUCCUAAUAACAGAUAUGAUCUUUGGCCAAUACAUUUCUCAAAUAACAUGAAGCCCUCUGAAUCCAACACAAGUUUCUUCAAGGUGGUCUUCACAAUGUUAACCUAACCCAAACAAGACUAGUGUAGUGGCUGCUAUUUUUGACCUUAAACUGGAUAUUUCUGUUUUUGAAGUAUUUGUAACAAUGUUGUCAAUGUUAUCCAAAAGCAUUGUAAAAUCUUGGCUUCACUGAGAGUCAAAUGUAUUCCAUGGCAAGUGUUCCAAAUUAUGAUGCAAAAUCCCAAGAGAGUUAUAAAUAAAUAAGAUUUUUUCAUCUGUUUGCUCCUGAUCUUUUACAAGUAUGCUAGGAGUACUUUCUGAGACUGCCUUCAAAACCAGAAAGGUUUAAAAUUGACUGAUUCUUCUAAAUGAAAGCUGAGAGUCUCAAAUAAUCACCUGACCCUAGGAAUUGAGCAGUGCAGAAAAAGAACACUGGCUAUCAAGAAGCAAGAAAAAAUUGCAAAAUUUGAUAACUGCAUAGCAAAUCAAAACAUUAGGUUAAUUGCUUUUGAAUGGGGAAGAAACUGAAAUUAUCAGUUUUUACUUGUUUGUAAUUGAUUAUUUAUGUGUGUAGAGUAUAACUGUAGUUUAAGUAAUGAUUACUGCUAUUCAUUUAGUUGGAAACUGACUAAAUGUUUCUUCAGGUACACUGACCCUCUGCUUUCUGAUGAUUUUCUAAUAUUAGGGAUCUCUAUCCUCUUCUGUCACACACUGAAAAACAAAUUGGAAAUUGUAUCAUCUGUUUUUAAUUUUCUGCAAAAUAGGUACCUUUAAUUACAGAUCCUUGAAAAUUUCCGAAGGAAAAAAUCAUUUAUUGGUGUUGGGCUUCUUUGUAUUUUUAAGAAAUAAAACACUGUUCAAGGAAA